UACGUAGGGGGCAAGCGUUGUCCGGAUUUAUUGGGCGUAAAGAGCGUGUAGGCGGUUUGGUAGGUCCGCUGUGAAAACUCGAGGCUCAACCUCGAGACGCCGGUGGAAACCAUCAGGCUAGAGUCCGGAAGAGGAGAGUGGAAUUCCUGGUGUAGCGGUGAAAUGCGCAGAUAUCAGGAAGAACACCCGUGGCUAAGGCGGCCU
rnacentral:rRNA from 1 species